rnacentral:tRNA from 2 species
GGGCGGUUAGCUCAGCUGGUUCAGAGCACCUGCCUUACAAGCAGGGGGUCACUGGUUCGAAUCCAGUACCGCCCA